AAAGGGAAGAUUUUGGAUAGUCC
rnacentral:siRNA from 1 species